rnacentral:rRNA from 1 species
GAUGAACGCUGGCGGCGUGCCUAACACAUGCAAGUCGAGCGAACCCUUCGGGGUAAGCGGCGGACGGGUGAGUAACGCGUGGGUAACCUGCCCUGUACACACGGAUAACAUACCGAAAGGUAUGCUAAUACGAGAUAAUAUGUAAUGAUCGCAUGAUUAAUACAUCAAAGCUCCGGCGGUACAGGAUGGACCCGCGUCUGAUUAGCUAGUUGGUGAGGUAAUGGCUCACCAAGGCGACGAUCAGUAGCCGACCUGAGAGGGUGAUCGGCCACAUUGGAACUGAGACACGGUCCAAACUCCUACGGGUGGCAG